GACGAACGCUGGCGGCGUGCUUAACACAUGCAAGUCGAACGGAAAGGCCCCCAUCUUGGUGGGGGUGCUUGAGUGGCGAACGGGUGAGUAACACGUGGGUGAUCUGCCCUGUACUUCGGGAUAAGCUUGGGAAACUGGGUCUAAUACCGGAUAGGACCAUGGUUUAGUGUCUCAGGGUGGAAAGAUUAUUGUUUUGGUGCAGGAUGAGCGCGCGGCCUAUCAGCUUGUUGGUGGGGUAAUGGCCUACCAAGGCGUCGACGGGUAGCCGGCCUGAGAGGGUGGACGGCCACAUUGGGACUGAGAUACGGCCCAGACUCCUACGGGAGGCAGCAGUGGGGAAUAUUGCACAAGGGGCGCAAGCCUGAGGCAGCGACGCCGCGUGGGGGAUGACGGCCUUCGGGUUGUAAACUCCUUUCGUUAGGGACGAAGCCACGCUUGUUGGGUGUGGUGACGGUACCUUUGUUAAGAAGCACCGGCUAACUACGUG
rnacentral:rRNA from 1 species